AAGCGGCACGGCUCACCGCAGAGCGGGACGACGACAUGACGCCGCCCGCCAUCUCCCACCACCACCACCACCGCCUCCUCCUCCCCUUCCCUUCCCCGAUCCAAACCCUAAACCCAUUCUCCACCUCCUCCGCUCGCCUCCGCCAUCAACUCCCCAAACCAAUUGUCCUAUCCCUAUCGCUCCGACCGGCCUUCUCCUCUGCCUUCGCGGUCGCUGCCGUCGACGACGACGAGGAUGUCGUCGUCGGGGAUUGCCUCGUGUUCGACGACGAUGCCUUCGAGGAACCGGACCUCGACCUCCCCUCUUCCGCACCGCCUCCGAGGGCCUCCCGAUACGGCCGAAGGGCGGAGGCCAGCGGCGGUGGGAGUCUGGUGCCGGAGAAGUGGAGGGACGCCGAGGAGGAGAUCAACCUGACUAAGAAGGAGAAGCGCCGCAUCGCGCACGGGAUGCGGUUCGGGAGCCGCCUCGAGCGGCGGGCGCCACCGGCCGUGACCGCCCCUGGCGAAUUCCGCGCGUACCGCAAGGGGAUGCUGCAGGCGGAGCGUGAACACGUUGCUGACGUAUACCGGGGGCCGCUGGAGAGGACUCUUCCGCCGGAGAAGGUGGAGGAGCCCCUGCCGCCGGAGCCGGGGACACGUGUGGCUCCGAAGAAUCCGAGGAUGGGGAUGGAUGGUGGCAGCCUCGAGGACAUUGCGGAGUUUUUUAGCAGUCGGGAGUAUGCUUCGGACGAGACGGAGGACAGCAAGAACCCCAAAAGCCGUCAUAAGCUGUUCUCAAAUGAGGAGAAGGUUCUUCUGAACAAGCGAGUGCCUGAUCUGGACGCCGCUGCUUCUAGUAAAUGGCCUCCGCUUCACACCCUUGCUGCAUCUGGGGAUUUCUAUCUAUUGGAUAGUCUUUUAAAACAUAAUGUGGACAUAAACGCGCUCGAUAAGGACGGUUUGCCAGCAAUUCACAAAGCAAUUCUUUCAAAGAAGGCUGCUAUUAUCAACUACCUUUUAAGGAAUUCAGCAAAUCCAUUCAUCCAAGAUAAAGAUGGUGCAACCCUAAUGCAUUAUGCUGUCCAAGCAGCAUGCAGUCAGACCAUAAAGACUCUUUUGUUGUACAAUGUUGACAUCAAUCGUCCAGAUGAUUAUGGAUGGACACCUUUGCAUCUUGCUGUACAAACACAGAGGACAGACAUUGUGAAGCUACUUUUAAUAAAGGGUGCUGAUAGAAACCUGAAAACCCAAGAUGGAUUGACCCCUUUGGAGCUGUGCCUCCGGCUGGGUCACCAUGCGCGUACAUACGAGCUUCUCAAACUACUGAAAAGCUUCAGAGGAAAAAAACAGCGUGAUUCAGUUUACCUGGAGGGUGUAUAACCUGUUGGAGUCAGUGAGGUUUAUGGAGGAGCUUGGGUCUCUGGGAGCCACUUUUUUGUUGUAUUAUGGAAUUGGUUCGAGUUUUAGAUAGGACAUAGUUUAGCUCCGGAACUGGAAGCACUGAGGAAACAAGUAUAUAGUUGAGCCAUGAGAAUGGGAUUCUAAACCUUUCCCUAGGUCAGUGUCCUACUAUUAUUAGAGUCCAUUGAAGCUUCUCAACUUGGGGUGGGCCAGGAAUUUGAACUAGAUUUCCGGCCCACCAACGUGCAAUGGGUCAGGAUUGCACUGUCCACAGGCCCUUGCUGGAGAUUCGUUGCACAUUUUUUUCAGUAGUUACUCUGAUAUGCAAAGAAGCAGGAGUUGUACUCCUUUUUCCCAUAUGAUUUGCUGUGAUGGGGUUGGGAAAUUCUGUUAUCGAAUAUUGAAUCCAUUGUUUUUGUGCUUGGCA